rnacentral:rRNA from 1 species
GGGCCCGCACAAGCGGUGGAGCAUGUGGUUUAAUUCGAUGCAACGCGAAGAACCUUACCUACUCUUGACAUCCAGAGAACUUUCCAGAGAUGGAUUGGUGCCUUCGGGAACUCUGAGACAGGUGCUGCAUGGCUGUCGUCAGCUCGUGUUGUGAAAUGUUGGGUUAAGUCCCGCAACGAGCGCAACCCUUAUCCUUGUUUGCCAGCGAGUAAUGUCGGGAACUCCAGGGAGACUGCCGGUGAUAAACCGGAGGAAGGUGGGGACGACGUCAAGUCAUCAUGGCCCUUACGAGUAGGGCUACACACGUGCUACAAUGGCGCAUACAGAGGGCGGCCAACUUGCGAGAGUGAGCGAAUCCCAAAAAGUGCGUCGUAGUCCGGAUCGGAGUCUGCAACUCGACUGCGUGAAGCUGGAAUCGCUAGUAAUCGGAUAU